rnacentral:rRNA from 1 species
UACGUAGGGUGCAAGCGUUAAUCGGAAUUACUGGGCGUAAAGCGUGCGCAGGCGGCUUUGCAAGACAGAUGUGAAAUCCCCGGGCUCAACCUGGGAACUGCAUCUGUGACUGCAUCGCUGGAGUGCGGCAGAGGGGGAUGGAAUUCCGCGUGUAGCAGUGAAAUGCGUAGAUAUGCGGAGGAACACCGAUGGCGAAGGCAAUCCCCUGGGCCUGCACUGACGCUCAUGCACGAAGCGU